AACAUGAGGAGAGGGGGCGGGGUCAAGCCUGCUCUCCAUUGGGUGUUGACGGGGUAACGAUGUCUUGGAUCUCUCCCUCCUCCUCCCUUCUUUAGCAGGCCGCGCUCGCGUGCGACGCCCCGCCCACCUCGCCCCACACUUCCCUGCUUUCGCUCCUCGCCUGCGCUUGCUGAAGUAGAAGAGGGGGGCGGGCCUGAAGAAAAGAUGCAGCGCCGGCCGCGCGCGCGCAAAGGCCGGGGGAAAACACUUCUUUCCCACAUCAGAUGUUUCUUGAAGUAUGGAGUGGGUGCCACUAUCAUAACUCUCAAUACUCUAUUCCAGUGCUGCUAGCAAGUUUCCUGGUGUGUAAGUUUGGCGUGUGCAGCCCACCUUCUUCCUCUCCCCUUUCCCAUAGAAGUCAGGCCUCCCACAGACGGUGUGCCUUCUGCUCUGCUACUUCAUACCGCAUUCGGGGAAGAAAAUCUACACUUUACCAGUGACUCCAGGAGAUCCCACAAAAGAGGUGAACAUUGUAUUGGAGAAGUGACCUUAUGAAGGUGGGAGCAGGACCGCCCUGACUGCUGACUUCUUAUCCAAGGAGGAUAAUCAUAUCCCAAGUUGAUCUCAGUGGGUAAGCUGAAGCGGUUAAGGCAAUGGUCUUCAUACAUUUUGCUGACAUACCCCCCAAAUAAUUUUUAAGUUGACAUGUAACAUUUUUUUAUCUUAAGUUUAGUUGCAAAAGAUGUAAUUUCUGGUUAAAGUAAAUACAAAUAUUUUAAAAUAAAAAAGUUUAAAAUACAUUUAAUGAAAUUAAAUUCCAUAGAAAUUGAAUACUCAUCAUCUAUUUUUACAGAAAUUUACAUUAGUUUUUCUCUUUGAGUUUGUAUUUUCAUUCUACUUUCCCA
rnacentral:lncRNA from 1 species